rnacentral:piRNA from 1 species
UGGACACCAGCCGUGUGCAGCCUAUCAAG